GAUCCUGGCUCAGGACGAACGCUGGCGGCGUGCCUAACACAUGCAAGUCGAACGAAGCACUGUGGAUAGAGACUUCGGUCAAUUGAAGCUUUGACUUAGUGGCGGACGGGUGAGUAACGCGUGAGGAACCUGCCUUUCAGAGGGGGACAACAGUUGGAAACGACUGCUAAUACCGCAUGAAGCAGCGAGAUCACAUGGUCUUGCUGCCAAAGAUUUAUCGCUGAAAGAUGG
rnacentral:rRNA from 1 species